rnacentral:lncRNA from 1 species
AUGUUUUGUUAAAAUGGUCCUCUUACUUGGCCGAGUUCAGAUGGUAAUUUAGGGUUCUUGUUUUCGAAUUCAAACCUAAAUUUUGGGUCCUUUCUUCCUUCUACCAACAAAAUUAGGGUUCAUGGUUUGGGUGGAAACCAAAAUUUUGAACCAUUGUAUUCGUCGUAUAUACCUCGUUGUAUGCCUCAUAAAUUAUUGAUUACAUAAGAAUGUCGUCAAAGGGUAUAAUUCCUUGCCAAGUAGAUCCAUCUCAAUAUUUAUAUGGUUUUAGGGUUCCAUCGACUGGUAUAUUGAUUAUGCAUGAAUGUGAUUAGCAUUUUAUGAACUAUUCAUUGAUAUACUAUCCCAUUCCGCUCUUAGAUAAACUUGUUUAUGUAAAACCCGCCAUACUUGUCAAGAUUUACUCCAACUUUGUUUUUUUGUUCAAUGUCGACUUGUUUUUUCUCAAUGUUGAUUUAUCUCCAUCUUUGUUUUACAUUUUAGGAAGGAGGAUGAGUAUUGCUCUUAUGUGUGCAUGUAACGUCCCGGUGAAGGUGUAUGCGCUCGAGCUUCCAUCAGGCAAAACUCAGGUGCCCUUCCGCUGCGACUUUGGCUGCUGAAAGAGCACCGGUGGUUGCGAGACUUUUAUGUGGUGCAAGGUCAAGGAUAGAAAUGAACCUAAUGACAGAGCUGUACGCAAAGAACCAGAAGUUAAAGGAUAAGAACCAGGGCUUAAAGGAUUGCAUCCAGAAUCAGGAAGACAUGAUUUAUUGCCUGCUGAUAGUGCUAGGAUUUGUAGUCAUUAUCUAACCAUAUCUACAUGCUUUUAAAGUUAAUAUUCGCUCGUUUAUGCUUUAAUUGAGUGUGGUCUUGCGUCUUGACAAUGUAUGCCUAAACUCUUUCACUUGGAAUGUUUCGGUCCAUUUGAUGUUUUUUUGUAGUAUUUGUUA